rnacentral:rRNA from 1 species
GAGGGUUUGAUCCUGGCUCAGAUUGAACGCUGGCGGCAGGCCUAACACAUGCAAGUCGAGCGGAUGAAGGGAGCUUGCUCCUGGAUUCAGCGGCGGACGGGUGAGUAAUGCCUAGGAAUCUGCCUGGUAGUGGGGGAUAACGUCCGGAAACGGGCGCUAAUACCGCAUACGUCCUGAGGGAGAAAGUGGGGGAUCUUCGGACCUCACGCUAUCAGAUGAGCCUAGGUCGGAUUAGCUAGUUGGUGGGGUAAAGGCCUACCAAGGCGACGAUCCGUAACUGGUCUGAGAGGAUGAUCAGUCACACUGGAACUGAGACACGGUCCAGACUCCUACGGGAGGCAGCAGUGGGGAAUAUUGGACAAUGGGCGAAAGCCUGAUCCAGCCAUGCCGCGUGUGUGAAGAAGGUCUUCGGAUUGUAAAGCACUUUAAGUUGGGAGGAAGGGCAGUAAGUUAAUACCUUGCUGUUUUGACGUUACCAACAGAAUAAGCACCGGCUAACUUCGUGCCAGCAGCCGCGGUAAUACGAAGGGUGCAAGCGUUAAUCGGAAUUACUGGGCGUAAAGCGCGCGUAGGUGGUUCAGCAAGUUGGAUGUGAAAUCCCCGGGCUCAACCUGGGAACUGCAUCCAAAACUACUGAGCUAGAGUACGGUAGAGGGUGGUGGAAUUUCCUGUGUAGCGGUGAAAUGCGUAGAUAUAGGAAGGAACACCAGUGGCGAAGGCGACCACCUGGACUGAUACUGACACUGAGGUGCGAAAGCGUGGGGAGCAAACAGGAUUAGAUACCCUGGUAGUCCACGCCGUAAACGAUGUCGACUAGCCGUUGGGGAUC